rfam:Triticum aestivum genome assembly, contig: Triticum_aestivum_CS42_TGACv1_scaffold_093287_2AL
CAUGUACUCCCCCCGUCCCAAAAUUCUUGUCUUAAAUUUGUUUAAAUACUGAUGUAUCAAGUCACGUUUUAGUAUUAGAUACAUCCGUAUCUAGACAAAAUUAAGACAAGAAUUUUAGGACAGAGGGAGUAUCAU